rnacentral:rRNA from 1 species
GUGCCAGCAGCUGCGGUAAUACGAAGGGGGCUAGCGUUGUUCGGAUUUACUGGGCGUAAAGCGCACGUAGGCGGACUUUUAAGUCAGGGGCGAAAUCCCGGGGCUCAACCCCGGAACUGCCUUUGAUACUGGAAGUCUUGAGUUCGAGAGAGGUGAGUGGAAUUGCGAGUGUAGAGGUGAAAUUCGUAGAUAUUCGCAGGAACACCAGUGGCGAAGGCGGCUCACUGGCUCGAUACUGACGCUGAGGUGCGAAAGCGUGGGAGACAAACGAGGAUUAGACUAACCCUGGUAGUACCACGACCGUAAACUAU